rnacentral:rRNA from 1 species
UCCGUAGGGGGCAAGCGUUGUUCGGAAUUACUGGGCGUAAAGGGCGCGUAGGCGGCCGAAUAAGUCUGACGUGAAAUCCCACGGCCCAACCGUGGAACUGCGUUUGAUACUGUUCGGCUCGAGUCCGGGAGAGGGUAGCGGAAUUCCCAGUGUAGCGGUGAAAUGCGUAGAUAUUGGGAGGAACACCGGUGGCGAAGGCGGCUACCUGGACCGGUACUGACGCUGAGGAGCGAAAGCGUGGGGAGCGAACAGG